AGAUACUGCCCAACCUGCUGAAUAUUUCUGUUUUCAGGCAUAGAGAAAUUUCCCAGUGGGAAAAUUCAAUUUCCUGGAAAAUGUCUUUGGAGUGUGCUAUGAUGGGAUUCCACAGGUGCCCAUGUGCAAUUCCCAUCUCUACCGGAAUAACUACAACAGUCCAGCAUUGGAAAACCUUCCCAAAGGCUCAUUUGAGAAGAUGGUGACCAAGAAUUCACUCAAUCUGCGUGCUGUUUGCCAAGUUAUGACAUCUGUACGUGUACCGGAAGAUAGAAGUAUUGCUUCCACUGCAUUCCAACUGAUUGAAGGCAAUAGUCUACAGGAUCAGGAGAUUUCAUGUUUCCUUAGAACAGGCCCAUCAGAAAAACACAUACACCAAAUAUUGAGGCACUGUGUUUGGAGAAAUGAAUUUGUAAUUACACUGUAUACUUGGGGCUUGUCAUAGUCAUGUGAUCUCUGCUGUAACUUCCUUUAACUUUGGAAGGAGUUGCGUUUAAACAUAUUAAAUGACUUCAAAGACA